UCAAUCCUCUGCCAUUUAGGAGUUAAAUCCCUUUGUUUAUGAACCCUAGUCACACCUCCCUGCAUGUGACUUGCACAGCCUUCCAUAAACACUUCCUGUAAAGAGAGCCCUAUUUAGGCUUUCUUUAUUGCAAGUUCUGUUUAAUUAAGAUUUUCUUAUCCCCUGCUAUGUUAAUAGCUUGCUAGACCCUGCAAGAGCCUCCUGUAUGUGAUUAAAGUUCAAUUUAAAGAUUGUAUCUCAAUUAUUUAAGGUAAAUUACAUCUGUUUGAAAGUGAAACCAGUUUUUUUUUUUCAUGCAGGCUCUGUUAAUCAUAGCCAGGGGAGGUGUGGCUAGGGC